GCUUUCACUGCUAACUUCUGCUUUCAUCUUCCAUCGAACGAACGCUCAUCUCUUCCAUCGAACGCUGCUUUCUAUCGAUCGAACGCUCCUUUCAUGAACACUGUUUUCUAUCGAUCGAACAGGCAUUCAAUCGUGUGGUAGCUUAUUACAAGUUCAUUUUAAGAAUAAGGUUGGUUCUCUACCAAAGAUCUUUCAGCAUCUCUGGGCAUCAUGAGCACCACUACAGUUGGAACGAACCUAGAGAUUUCUAAGUACGCCGUUAGACCCUCUUGCCAGAAAUCAUACAGCUCUUCCUUUUAUGCAAGCACAUGCAAGUUUUUUUGCUUGUCUAGGAGAUGUACACCAUUAUCGCUCACUUCAAGGAAAGUAGAGAACAGAAAAUAUUCAAAAAAUGAAAUUGUAUGCUUGGUUAGCAACAAUCUUGGGGGAACUACGGAGCAAGAGGGUCUUACAUAUAAGGAGGCUGGUGUUGACAUAGAUGCAGGAUCAGAGCUUGUACGAAGGAUUGCAAAGAUGGCACCUGGAAUUGGAGGCUUUGGUGGACUGUUUCCACUUGGGGAUUCAUAUCUUGUAGCCGGUACAGAUGGCGUGGGAACUAAACUUAAGCUGGCAUUUGAGACUGGAAUACAUGAUACCAUUGGUAUUGAUUUGGUUGCAAUGAGCGUUAAUGACAUUAUUACCUCUGGAGCAAAGCCUUUGUUUUUUCUUGAUUACUUCGCUACAAGCCACCUUGAUGUUGAUCUUGCUGAAAAGGUUAUAAAAGGAAUCGUUAAUGGUUGCCAACAAUCUGAUUGUGCCCUUCUGGGGGGAGAGACUGCUGAGAUGCCAGAUUUUUAUGCAAAUGGUGAGUACGAUCUAAGUGGCUUUGCAGUUGGCAUUGUGAAAAAGGAGUCUGUUAUAAAUGGAAAGAACAUUUCGGUUGGAGAUGUGCUCAUUGGCCUGCCAUCUAGCGGAGUUCACUCAAAUGGGUUCUCUCUUGUUCGAAGGGUGCUAGCUCGAAGCAGUCUUUCUUUGAAGGAUAAACUCCCUGGUGAAUCCAUUACAUUAGGCGAAGCUUUAAUGGCGCCAACUGUAAUAUACGUUAAACAGGUGCUUGAUAUUAUCAGCAAGGGGGGCAUAAAAGGAAUUGCCCACAUUACUGGUGGCGGAUUUACAGAUAAUAUUCCUCGAGUUUUCCCUAAAGGCCUUGGCGCUCUCGUUUAUGAAGACUCUUGGCCAGUUCCUCCUGUCUUCAAAUGGAUCCAAAAGGCAGGAAUGAUCGAAGAUGCUGAAAUGAAGCGAACUUUUAAUAUGGGAAUCGGGAUGGUUCUUGUUGCUAGCAAAGAGGCUGCCGAAAGGAUACUUAACGAAGGCGAAACGGCAUACCGUAUUGGUGAAGUCAUAAGCGGUGAUGGUGUAAGUUACCGAUAACAAGUUGCUCUCAUGGUCCCUUCUUUGAGGGGCCGUUUACGAAAUGCUUAUUCGGUUACGUGCUUACCAAGUCGCAUACUUUACCAUAUGAAUAUGGUAAAGACCAAGAAGAUUAUUCUGCAAGAGCAAGACAAAGACCGAGAAUCUUAUCCAGUAAUUGAGGGCAAUGACUCUUACCACGAACCUCCGUAGGUGAAGUAAAAUCAAGUCAAGAUAUCAUCAGUUGGUUGAAGGUUUGGAAGAUUAAAGCUUAAAAACUCAAGGUACAUGACUUAGUAGAGAUUUUGGGAUGAGAGUUAUGAAGAUGACAAUACUGAAGAUAACUUAUUAGGACAUAACCUAUUGGGACAUACUUUUGUUAAAUUUUUGAUGAAUAAUGUAGAUAUACUUGUAUUUUGGGACCAUAUUUUGAUACAUGUUAUCUCCGUUUAUGGUUAUGAAUUUAUCUUUUCGUAAA